GACGAACGCUGGCGGCGUGCCUAACACAUGCAAGUCGAACGGAGAAUUUUAUUUCGGUAGAAUUCUUAGUGGCGAACGGGUGAGUAACGCGUAGACAACCUGCCUCUUAGAUGGGGACAACAUCGCGAAAGCGGUGCUAAUACCGAAUGAAGUGGAGCUUCCGUAUGGAAGCAUCACCAAAGGUGGCCUCUAUUUAUAAGCUACCACUGAGAGAUGGGUUUGGGUCUGAUUAGCUAGUUGGCGGGGUAAUGGACCACCAAGGCGACGAUCAGUAGCCGGUCUGAGAGGAUGAACGGCCACAUUGGGACUGAGGCACGGCCCAAACUCCUACGGGAGGCAGCAGUGGGGAAUCUUCCGCAAUGGACGAAAGUCUGACGGAGCAACGCCGCGUGAGUGAAGAAGGUUUUCGGAUCGUAAAGCUCUGUUGUUUGAGACGAAUGUGCAGACUUUGAAUAAGGGUUUGUAAUGACGGUAUUAAACGAGAAAGCCACGGCUAACUACGUGCCAGCCGCCGCCGUAA
rnacentral:rRNA from 1 species